rnacentral:rRNA from 1 species
CCGAUCUCGAAAACCUGUCCCAGUUCGGACUGGAGUCUGCAACCCGACUCCACGAAGUUGGAUUCGCUAGUAAUCGCGCAUCAGCCAUGGCGCGGUGAAUACGUUCCCGGGCCUUGUACACACCGCCCGUCAAGCCAUGGGAGCCGGGGGCGCCUGAAGUCCGGGACCGCGAGGACCGGCCUAAGGCGAAACUGGUGACUGGGGCUAAGUCGUAACAAGGUACC